UACGUAGGGUGCAAGCGUUAAUCGGAAUUACUGGGCGUAAAGCGUGCGCAGGCGGUUUUAUAAGUCAGAUGUGAAAUCCCCGGGCUCAACCUGGGAACUGCAUUUGUGACUGUAGAGCUGGAGUACGGCAGAGGGGGAUGGAAUUCCGCGUGUAGCAGUGAAAUGCGUAGAUAUGCGGAGGAACACCGAUGGCGAAGGCAAUCCCCUGGGCCUGUACUGACGCUCAUGCACGAAAGCGUGGGGAGCAAACAGG
rnacentral:rRNA from 1 species